GUCAUUUAGCCUAGUGGUUAAGGCGUGCGCUAAAUGUUUUCCCGCAGCGAGAGUUCGAAUCUCUCAAGCAACA
rnacentral:tRNA from 1 species